UCACAGUGGUAAAGGUGGAACAGAAGGAAAAGCCCUUCUUCUUGGUCUCGGCCCACUUGGCCCAUGACGAAGACAUACCACCGGCCCCGCUCACCAGACUAGUAGAGGAGAACAGGAAGGAAGAUGUCCUAAUAGGGUGUGAUGCAAACGCAAGGCACACCGUAUGGGGUAGCUCCAGUAUAAACACCAGAGGGGAUCGAGUUCGGAAGAUGAAAAUAAACUUCAGUGUGACAAUGAUAGAUAGUUUUUAUGAUUGGUGAAUGAUAUCACAGCUUUCUCUGAAUUUUUCGUAAUUGUGGAAAUCUCGUAUGAGAAGGGACAUAGCAUCUUGCUUUCUAAUUACAAGGUGCGUUUCAAAGUAAACAGGACUUUUUGAAUCCAGCGCCCCUGGUGGCGCCAUCUAUAUGUCAACUGGUGCUUUAGAAUCUGCUAUCUUUAACGAUUGUCCAGUGAGAAUUUCAUGACAUCGAUUGGAACUCAAGUUAUUGUGUCCGUAUGUUUGUGUUAUCGGGGCGAAAAUAGGCUUCGAACAAAGUGCCAACAUUAAAUUUUGUUUCAAAAUUGGUAAAAGAAAAAUGGUUUAUGGCGAUGAUUGCCUAUCCCGUAGCAGAGUGCUCGAGUGGUUUCAACGUUUUCAAAGUGGUCGUAAGGACAUAAUUGACGAUCAACAUGUGGGCCAAUCAAAAUCCGUGGUCACCGGGAAUUCCAUCGAAACUGUGUGUGAAUUCAUCAAAAAUCAGCCGAAAUCAUCAUUGAAAUUCAUGGAAAUGAAAUUGAACAUCUCCAAAACAUCGAUUUAUUGCAUUUUGACCGAACAUUUGGGCUUACGAAAGGAGUGUGCACGGUUUGUUCCGCACAAAUUGACUAACGACCAAAAAUUGC